rnacentral:rRNA from 1 species
CCUACGGGGUGCAGCAGUGGGGAAUAUUGCGCAAUGGGCGAAAGCCUGACGCAGCGACGCCGCGUGAGGGAUGAAGGUCUUCGGAUCGUAAACCUCUGUCAGCAGGGAAGAACGGUCACUGUGCUAAUCAGCAGUGAAUUGACGGUACCUGCAAAGGAAGCACCGGCUAACUCCGUGCCAGCAGCCGCGGUAAUACGGAGGGUGCGAGCGUUAAUCGGAAUUACUGGGCGUAAAGCGCUCGUAGGCGGUAUGUCAAGUCAAGGGUGAAAUCCCCGCGCUCAACGUGGGAACUGCCUUUGAAACUGGCAAACUGGAGUGUGUGAGAGGAUGGUGGAAUUCCAGGUGUAGGAGUGAAAGCCGUAGAUAUCUGGAGGAACAUCAGUGGCGAAGGCGACUAUCUGGCACAUAACUGACGCUGAGGAGCGAAAGCGUGGGUAGCAAACAGGAUUAGAUACCCCGGUAGUC